rnacentral:lncRNA from 1 species
GCCAUUUUCAUUGAUAUCACAACCUAGUGAGCAAAGCAAAAGCACCUCCCACUUAUCUACAUCAUUGAUUCAUCAUCUUUGUGAGAUUAGGAGUGAGUCCAAGUGCAUUACUCGAGUAAUUUCAUCUAGUGGCACUUGAUGAUUGUGUUUCACUGUGGGGUUCGCUUGUUACUCUUGGUAUUUGCCAACACAUAGAUGGCUUGGUGCAGUUUAAAGGUCCUUGUUUGGUUUUGGUAAUUAAGUGACAACUUAGGUUAAUAGUGUUUAUGUGAGAUACACAGGAGAUUAUUCCACAUGUGAUCAUAUGAUGAUGUAGGAGCUCAUUGCAUAUGAGACAUGACAUAGAGUCA